rnacentral:rRNA from 1 species
UACGAAGGGGGCUAGCGUUGUUCGGAAUCACUGGGCGUAAAGCGCACGUAGGCGGAUCUUUAAGUCAGGGGUGAAAUCCCGAGGCUCAACCUCGGAACUGCCUUUGAUACUGGGGAUCUCGAGUUCGGGAGAGGUGAGUGGAACUGCGAGUGUAGAGGUGAAAUUCGUAGAUAUUCGCAAGAACACCAGUGGCGAAGGCGGCUCACUGGCCCGAUACUGACGCUGAGGUGCGAAAGCGUGGGGAUCAAACAGG